AAGUUUGAAAUACAAUCCUACAGACACUUUUUGAGUGCCUACUAUGCUAGUCACUGCACUAGGUGCUGGGGAAUGGAAUGUUCAAGACGUUCUCCAUAACCUCAUAGCAGCGGGCUCCAGCGGCCAUGAGGAGUACGAGGAGUAUUUUCCUUGACUUCUAGGAGUAUGAUGAGUAUUUUCCUUGACUUCUCUCCACUUCCUAGGAACAAAGCACCUAUUUAUUAAUAUUUCAGAAAUAGGAAAAUGCUCAUGAAAGAAGAGAGACACCAUCCUCACUGGAUUAAACUGAUGACUGUUCCAGGAAGGAGUCUUGAGACAUUGCUGGACUGAUAUGUGAACACUGCUUGUUCUCUCCAAAUCCACUUGCAAAGUGGACGCACCUGGUCCCUGCUAAAGCCUUUUUCUUUCCUGGCUUCUCCAAUGCCACGAGAACAAAAGAUCUCUCACUUCAGUGUCCUGACGCCCCUACUUCUCUUACUUCCACAUCAAGUCUUUUCGUUUGUCAUCUCUGGAAGAAUCUACUGAACCUAUUUCUCUCAAAUGGCACCACAGAGUCAGCCUUUUUUCUGGGAGAAUGCCUGCAGGAGAGAGGGUAGAAAAACUGCUAGCAAUGAAAGUAAAAAAAAUAAAGU
rnacentral:lncRNA from 1 species